rnacentral:rRNA from 1 species
GACGAACGCUGGCGGCGUGCUUAACACAUGCAAGUCGAACGGAAAGGCCCUGCUUUUGUGGGGUGCUCGAGUGGCGAACGGGUGAGUAACACGUGAGUAACCUGCCCUUGACUUUGGGAUAACUUCAGGAAACUGGGGCUAAUACCGGAUAGGAGCUCCUGCUGCAUGGUGGGGGUUGGAAAGUUUCGGCGGUUGGGGAUGGACUCGCGGCUUAUCAGCUUGUUGGUGGGGUAGUGGCUUACCAAGGCUUUGACGGGUAGCCCGCCUGGGAGGGUUACCGGCCCACAUGGGGGCUGGCAACCGGCCCAGACCCCACCGGGAGGCAGCAGGGGGGAAUAUUGAAAACGGGGCGGAGGCCUGACGAAGCAACCCCGCGGGGGGGAAGCGGGCUUUGGGGUUGAAAACCGCUUUCGCCUGGGACGAACCGUGAGGGGCGGUAAUGGUAAAAGAAGCACCGCAUAACUACGU